CUCAAAAAGCAAUAUAACAAAAUUUCAUGUCAGACAUGUGUUUACUAUGUUAAUCAUAACUAUCCGUAAUACUUUCGUAAAUUCAUUUCAAGCACCGAAACAAUUUGUAAAACACAUCAUAUGUCAAGGACUUUGGUAAACUCAUUUCACGCACUGAAACAAUUUGUACAACACAUCAUAAGUUAAAGUUUGUUCUCGAAAGAGAUUUU